rnacentral:rRNA from 1 species
GAGUCUAGCAUGUGCGCGAGUCAUUGGGACUCUAACGAAACCUAAAGGCGUAAUGAAAGUGAAGGUUCGCCUCGCGCGAACCGAGGGAGGAUGGACGGUCGUUCUCGACCGUCCCGCACUCCCUGGGCGUCUCGUUCUCAUCGCGAGAAGAGGCGCACCAAGAGCGUACACGCUGGGACCCGAAAGAUGGUGAACUAUGCCUGGUCAGGACGAAGUCAGGGGAAACCCUGAUGGAGGUCCGUAGCGAUUCUGACGUGCAAAUCGAUCGUCGGAACUGGGUAUAGGGGCGAAAGACUAAUCGAACCAUCUAGUAGCUGGUUCCCUCCGAAGUUUCCCUCAGGAUAGCUGGCGCUCGCUUCUCGCGAGUCUCAUUCGGUAAAGCGAAUGAUUAGAGGCAUUGGGGUCGAAACGGCCUCAACCUAUUCUCAAACUUUAAAUGGGUGAGAUCUCCGGCUUGCUUGAACUAUGAAGCCGCGAGAUAUCGGAUCAGAGUGCCAAGUGGGCCACUUUUGGUAAGCAGAACUGGCGCUGUGGGAUGAACCAAACGCUGAGUUAAAGCGCCUAAAUCGACGCUUAUGGGAUACCAUGAAAGGCGUUGGUAACUUAAGACAGCAGGACGGUGGCCAUGGAAGUCGGA